UACGUAGGGUGCAAGCGUUGAUCGGAAUUACUGGGCGUAAAGCGUGCGCAGGCGGUUUGUAAGUCUGUCGUGAAAGCCCCGGGCUUAACCUGGGAAUUGCGAUGGAGACUGCAAGGCUUGAAUCUGGCAGAGGGGGGGUAGAAUUCCACGUGUAGCAGUGAAAUGCGUAGAGAUGUGGAGGAACACCGAUGGCGAAAGGCAGCCCCCUGGGUCAAGAUUGACGCUCAUGCACGAAGCGUGGGGAGCA
rnacentral:rRNA from 1 species